UGGGGAAUCUUGGACAAUGGGCGCAAGCCUGAUCCAGCCAUGCCGCGUGGAUGAUGAAGGCCCUAGGGUUGUAAAAUCCUUUCGUUGGGGACGAUAGUGACGGUACCCAAAGAAGAAGCUCCGGCUAACUUCGUGCCAGCAGCCGCGGUAAUACGAAGGGGGCUAGCGUUGUUCGGAUUUACUGGGCGUAAAGCGCGUGUAGGCGGGUCGUUAAGUUGGGGGUGAAAUCCCGAGGCUCAACCUCGGAACUGCCUUCAAAACUGGCAACCUGGACCCAAGUAGAGGCAAGUGGAAUUGCGAGUGUAGAGGUGAAAUUCGUAGAUAUUCGCAGGAACACCAGUGGCGAAGGCGACUUGCUGGACUUGUGGUGACGCUGAGACGCGAAAGCGUGGGGAGCAAACAGGAUUAGAUACCCAUGUAGUCCCUGAGCGGGCUGGCAAGGCGCAU
rnacentral:rRNA from 1 species